ACGAACGCUGGCGGCUGCUUAACACAUGCAAGUCGAACGGAGUGGCGAACGGGUGAGUAACGCGUGAGCAACCUGCCUAUGACAGUGGGAUAGCCUCGGGAAACCGGGAUUAAUACAGCAUAGUCAUAGAUGGGCUCGCGUUUGAUUAGCUAGUUGGUGAGAUAACCGCCCACCAGGGCGACGUACAGUAGCCGGUCGGAGAGGAUGAACGGCGACAUUGGAGCUGAGACACGGUCCAAACUCCUACGGGAGGCGGCAGUGGUGAAUAUUGCACAAUGGGGGAAACCCUGAUGCAGCGACGCCGCGAGAACGAAGAAGGUAUUCGUAUCGUAAAGUGCUGUCCUAUGGGAAGCAGUACCAUAGAAGAAAGCUCCGGCUAAAUACGUGCCAGCAGCCGCGGUAAUAC
rnacentral:rRNA from 1 species